rnacentral:rRNA from 2 species
AUGGACGAAAGUCUGAUGGAGCAACGCCGCGUGAGUGAAGAAGGGUUUCGGCUCGUAAAACUCUGUUGUUAAAGAAGAACAUAUCUGAGAGUAACUGUUCAGGUAUUGACGGUAUUUAACCAGAAAGCCACGGCUAACUACGUGCCAGCAGCCGCGGUAAUACGUAGGUGGCAAGCGUUGUCCGGAUUUAUUGGGCGUAAAGCGAGCGCAGGCGGUUUUUUAAGUCUGAUGUGAAAGCCUUCGGCUCAACCGAAGAAGUGCAUCGGAAACUGGGAAACUUGAGUGCAGAAGAGGACAGUGGAACUCCAUGUGUAGCGGUGAAAUGCGUAGAUAUAUGGAAGAACACCAGUGGCGAAGGCGGCUGUCUGGUCUGUAACUGACGCUGAGGCUCGAAAGUAUGGGUAGCAAACAGGAUUAGAUACCCUGGUAGUCCAUACCGUAAACGAUGAAUGCUAAGUGUCGGAGGGUUUCCGCCCUUCAGCGCUGCAGCUAACGCAUUAAGCAUUCCGCCUGGGGAGUACGGCCGCAAGGCUGAAACUCAAAGGAAUUGACGGGGGCCCGCACAAGCGGUGGAGCAUGUGGUUUAAUUCGAAGCUAC